ACGGGUGAGUAAUGUCUGGGGAUCUGCCCGAUAGAGGGGGAUAACCACUGGAAACGGUGGCUAAUACCGCAUAACGUCGCAAGACCAAAGAGGGGGACCUUCGGGCCUCUCACUAUCGGAUGAACCCAGAUGGGAUUAGCUAGUAGGCGGGGUAACGGCCCACCUAGGCGACGAUCCCUAGCUGGUCUGAGAGGAUGGCCAGCCACACUGGAACUGAGACACGGUCCAGACUCCUACGGGAGGCAGCAGUGGGGAAUAUUGCACAAUGGGCGCAAGCCUGAUGCAGCCAUGCCGCGUGUAUGAAGAAGGCCUUCGGGUUGUAAAGUACUUUCAGCGGGGAGGAAGGCGAUAAGGUUAAUAACCUUGUCGAUCGACGUUACCCGCAGAAGAAGCACCGGCUAACUCCGUGCCAGCAGCCGCGGUAAUACGGAGGGUGCAAGCGUUAAUCGGAAUUACUGGGCGUAAAGCGCACGCAGGCGGUCUGUUAAGUCAGAUGUGAAAUCCCCGGGCUUAACCUGGGAACUGCAUUUGAAACUGGCAGGCUUGAGUCUCGUAGAGGGGGGUAGAAUUCCAGGUGUAGCGGUG
rnacentral:rRNA from 1 species